UACGGAGGGUGCAAGCGUUAUCCGGAUUCACUGGGUUUAAAGGGUGCGUAGGCGGGUAAGUAAGUCCGUGGUGAAAUCUCUGAGCUUAACUCAGAAACUGCCGUGGAUACUAUUUGCCUUGAAUAUUGUGGAGGUGAGCGGAAUAUGUCAUGUAGCGGUGAAAUGCUUAGAUAUGACAUAGAACACCAAUUGCGAAGGCAGCUCACUACACAAUCAUUGACGCUGAGGCACGAAAGCGUGGGGAUCAAAUAGG
rnacentral:rRNA from 1 species